rnacentral:misc_RNA from 1 species
AAGUCGUAACAAGGUUUCCGUAGGUGAACCUGCGGAAGGAUCAUUUGAGUUGUUUGUGGGUGUAUCUGUGUGUGCACAGGUACACUGCAAACCAACCCUUUGUUUGGAAGUCAACUGUGUGGAAGCGGCACCUCACUGAGCGUGUGUGCGUUGAUGAUGCGUUGCGUUGCGUUGGUGCUGGGCUGGGCUGGGAAGCCAGCACAGCACAGCGCACGCAGCCGCACGCGGCGCACACUGCUCGCUCACUUGCAGCAAACAACACGCUGGAUAAACCCCAAGUAAGUACACUCAUGGCCAAAGGCGUACACACACGAAUAAAAAGCGUGAGUACAGUUUUAACGGUGGAUCUCUUGGCUCGU